rnacentral:ncRNA from 2 species
UUGAGUGUAUUGGGAGAGAGUAACGAAUGUUGCCGCCGAAGGAGCAAAUUCCAUAAAAUCCUUGGAAUAAAUCUCUCAGGUAAUAGGGACCAGUACAUGACG